rnacentral:lncRNA from 1 species
CUACCACUGUUACUUUAACUAUGACCAAUAAUACUACCAACCCCAUCAUUACCAUUGCAACUAUAGCCAGCACCACUCCAAAGAGCAACUACCAUUACUACAACCAUGGUUAACAUCAUGAUCAUUACCGCGCAGCUAGAGCCAAUACUAUCACCACCAGUACUACUACCUCAACUACAACGACGACCACCACCACCACCACCAUCACCCUCACUACCACUACGUUGAUAGUAUAACGAUCACCACUGCAACCUUAAAAAUCAAAAGUCCUGCAUUACUACCACCACAUCCACAAAUUCAGUCUACGAUAGAAAAGAUAUCUUUAAUGCUGUAUACACCGACAUUACCGUUUUUUUACUAUUAUUAUCUUUUAUUUAUUUAUUUUUUUUUUGAGGCCAGGUUUGGCUUAUUCAAAUUGUACCAUCUCUCUCCCUCUGUCCACCCAUAUACCUACCCCAUUUCUCUCUCUCUAUCCAGCGAUACAUAUUAUACCCCACUCUCUUUAUAUCUCCCCCUAUCCUACUUAGCCGCUCUCUCUUUCUCUUGAUCUCUUUGUAUUUCAUCUAUCCAUUCAGCUCUCUAUCUAUCGAUAUUUCUCUCUACUUACCUGGCUAUCUAUCUAUCUCUCUCUCUCUCUCUCUAUAUAUAUAUAUAUAUAUAUAGUUAUCUAUCUAUCUCUCAGUCUAUCUAUCUAUCUAUCUAUCUGUCAGUCUAUCUAUCUAUAUAUCUGUCUAUCUGUCAGUCUAUCUAUCUGUCAGUCUAUCUAUCUAUAUAUCUGUCUAUCUGUCAGUCUAUCUAUCUGUCAGUCUGUCUGUCUGUCUAUCUGUCUAUUUAUCUGUCUGCCUGUGCUUGUAUGUUUACCGUUUUCUUUCGAGAUAUAUAUAUAUAUAUAAUUUAGUGUGUCUCAUUUGUUCAUCAGUAUCUUCGAGUUCGUCUGCAAUCCAUCGCGCACAAAUCCACUCACACACAAUUUUGAAUUCAUGUAAUUAACUCAUUAAUUUUCGGUUUCAGAAAUUUAUUCCAACAUUUUUGCAACAAUCUAGAAACACGUGAAAAUUUACACAAGUUUCUUGCGAUUACUUAAAUGGAUAUCCAUAUGCAUACCUUAUAACACAUACACACACACACGUAUAUAUAGCACUUAAUCUAAUUAUAGUUACACUUAAUGACCUUGAGAUUAAAAACAUCCUUUCGAAAACUUAUCUAUAAAAGUGCAUACAGACAUACUAUAUAUUCAUACAUACAUAUACACGUUAUAUAUAUAUAUAUAUAGUAAGUAAUUAAGGGUUCAGCAACGAUUUGCCUCACCACACACCGAAUUUAGAAAUAGCAGUCAAAAAGUUUAUUAUAUAUAUAUAUAUAUAUAUUUAUAUACUCUCCUAUCCAUUCAACUGAUAUCUUUAGGAGGUACAAUGAAAAUUUUCGGAAUACUUGGAUACUUUGAUAAAACUUUUAGAAAAUGAGAUACAAAAUCUUCCAACGACUCCCAUUCGACCUAAAGCAUCAGUAAUAAGUUUUAGCGAAAGUUCUCAUCAAUUGAGAGAUUACGUGAAAGUUGCCUCGUGGAUGGACUUUUAAAGCACAUCUUCAGCCCUGGUUCACUGCCUCCACGUUUUUGCUCUUCUUAUACGCUGCUUCAACCUUAUAAUCUACUUUCUUUCUCUACGUCUCUCAUUCGUCAUACUAUACGAAUAUACUUUAUAUCUUUCUAUUUUACUCUUACUCUUUCACUCUGUCUUACUAGUCUCUCUCUCUCUCUGCUACAUUUUCUUUUGAUAUACUUCUGACUCACUAAUACUGUAUUUAAUUACAGACUCUUUCGCUUCGUUUUAUGACACAAACACACAUACACACGUCUCUGUUUACAACUUUAUAUUAACGCUACCUAUCUGGUACUCAACAAUUUCUCUACCCUCUCUUUUCUCCUUUCAUUCUCUCUCUCUACCUCCCCCCUCUCUCACUACACUCACACCAUCUUAUAACAUUACUUUUGUCUUAGCAUUAAUUCUUUUCCAAUCUCUCCCUCUAUAAUUAUUUAUCAUACUCUCUCUUUCUCUCGCAUUAUCUCACUGGCAUUAAGACCCUUCCUCUCUCCUUGGACUUAACACCACUACACUAAAUACUACUACUACUGUAAACACUACUACUACUACUACUACCUACAACCUGCAAAAGUUUGACGAAGGAACUAUUCUAAGACCUAUGAUCAUGUGAUUUCUAACUGACCAAUACAGCCUGACCUGUCCCUUCGCCUCGUCUGUAAUGUCUCCUCUGCCCAUUCCUCUCUUCGCUUAGUUACCAACCUAGCUACCUAAUAUUGCCCACACAUUACAAACACGGCCAUUGUUCCACACGCCACUGUCAACAUUGACCAACGUUACGCCGCCACCCUACACAUACACGAACUACCCUAAUCAUUCUGUCCACGACUGCGAGCAUACAAGCGCAUGUACGUGUUCAUACAUACAUAACAUACAUACAUGCCUACAUACAUACAUAC